CCUUGCAUCACAGCAGACAGCAAUGGAAACACGCUCCGUGAUUGGAACUGCUGCCCUCUGCAAUGCACCGUCUCCAAAAAGUCCCAGAAACCCUGCUGAGGUUUGUGUUUGAAGUGGAGCUGAUAAAUCGGAGCUGGUGCUACUUGAAUGAAGACAGAUUGUGAUUUUGGAACCAUGCCAGCAGCGUUGCCUGCAUUAAUUUUUGAAAAUAGCCGAAGGAGCAAAGUUAUACUGAGAAGAAGAGUCAUGCUGUGCCAUACUUCCUUUCUGAGGGAAGGAAGAAAACUUAAAGACUUCUGUUUCUUCCAGAGUAUAUUUCACCCAAGGAGUAAUUUUAUGUUCUAGAGUGUACAGAGGACCCAGAACAUAUUGGCUGGAAAAACCAUAUAAUUUAUGUGUUAGGUGUCUUAAAGGCCGUGUAGUGCUACUGCUUACCACACUACAGCUUAGAGAAUUUCCUGUGCAUUGUCACCUCUUCCCAGAUCUCUCUCCUAUGAAGGUUGUAACAUUGAGUCCAAUGAGCUUUCUGUUUUACUCUUCACUCAUCCAAUCUCUCCCAUAUCCUGAUCCUUAUCGCAAAUAAAAUUCCUUGGUAAACCAUU